CUGACCUGCCUUAGGGUGUUCAUCUUUUACCGUGUCUAGUUCACAAGUUAGGCUCUACCAUAGGGCACUUGGCCUGCCUCCAGGCCCCUCUGCACGACUUUACAUUCUCAUAAUUCUGAAGCUACUGUGGUACCAGCGUGAGGCCAGCCAGAGUCGGGAAACGGAGUAGGACCAUCUCCUAGAUAUCUGGGUCAGGCUGGAGAGGCUGUGUCUCUUAAGUGGCUCAGUGGCGAAGAAGCAGUUUGAAAACCUGAGUUUUUAAAGCUUUAUAGAAAGGG